GCUGACGAGUGGCGGACGGGUGAGUAAUGUCUGGGAAACUGCCUGAUGGAGGGGGAUAACUACUGGAAACGGUGGCUAAUACCGCAUAACGUCGCAAGACCAAAGAGGGGGACCUUCGGGCCUCUUGCCAUCAGAUGUGCCCAGAUGGGAUUAGCUUGUUGGUGAGGUAACGGCUCACCAAGGCGACGAUCCCUAGCUGGUCUGAGAGGAUGACCAGCCACACUGGAACUGAGACACGGUCCAGACUCCUACGGGAGGCAGCAGUGGGGAAUAUUGCACAAUGGGCGCAAGCCUGAUGCAGCCAUGCCGCGUGUAUGAAGAAGGCCUUCGGGUUGUAAAGUACUUUCAGCGGGGAGGAAGGUGUUGUGGUUAAUAACCGCAGCAAUUGACGUUACCCGCAGAAGAAGCACCGGCUAACUCCGUGCCAGCAGCCGCGGUAAUACGGAGGGUGCAAGCGUUAAUCGGAAUUACUGGGCGUAAAGCGCACGCAGGCGGUCUGUCAAGUCGGAUGUGAAAUCCCCGGGCUCAACCUGGGAACUGCAUUCGAAACUGGCAGGCUUGAGUCUUGUAGAGGGGGGUAGAAUUCCAGGUGUAGCGGUGAAAUGCGUAGAGAUCUGGAGGAAUACCGGUGGCGAAGGCGGCCCCCUGGACAAAGACUGACGCUCAGGUGCGAAAGCGUGGGGAGCAAACAGGAUUAGAUACCCUGGUAGUCCACGCCGUAAACGAUGUCUACUUGGAGGUUGUGCCCUUGAGGCGUGGCUUCCGGAGCUAACGCGUUAAGUAGACCGCCUGGGGAGUACGGCCGCAAGGUUAAAACUCAAAUGAAUUGACGGGGGCCCGCACAAGCGGUGGAGCAUGUGGUUUAAUUCGAUGCAACGCGAAGAACCUUACCUGGUCUUGACAUCCACGGAAGUUUUCAGAGAUGGAUUUGUGCCUUCGGGAACCGUGAGACAGGUGCUGCAUGGCUGUCGUCAGCUCGUGUUGUGAAAUGUUGGGUUAAGUCCCGCAACGAGCGCAACCCUUAUCCUUUGUUGCCAGCGGUCCGGCCGGGAACUCAAAGGAGACUGCCAGUGAUAAACUGGAGGAAGGUGGGGAUGACGUCAAGUCAUCAUGGCCCUUACGACCAGGGCUACACACGUGCUACAAUGGCGCAUACAAAGAGAAGCGACCUCGCGAGAGCAAGCGGACCUCAUAAAGUGCGUCGUAGUCCGGAUUGGAGUCUGCAACUCGACUCCAUGAAGUCGGAAUCGCUAGUAAUCGUGGAUCAGAAUGCCACGGUGAAUACGUUCCCGGGCCUUGUACACACCGCCCGUCACACCAUGGGAGUGGGUUGCAAAAGAAGUAGGUAGCUUAACCUUCGGGAGGGCGCUUACCACUUUGUGAUUCAUGACUGGGGUGAAGUCGUAACAAGGUAACCGUAGGGGAACCUGCGGUUG
rnacentral:rRNA from 1 species